GUGUUUAAGAUUGAACUGUAAGAUUAAUGGAGCAAACUUCAGAAGAAGUUACUCCUCCAAAAAUAGGUGUAUGCCGUUUGAAGUGGAGAGCACACGGUAUUCUUUAGUAAAAGGCGAAAGAAUAGUUCGCUUUGUGCUCACCACACGGCUCCAAG
rnacentral:sRNA from 1 species